CUGCUUUUGGCUUCAUGCACUUGGAUCUUACUACAAUACGAAUUAUUCUUGUUCUUCCUUGUGACCUACACCACCCGACCCCCACCUCUCUGUGCAAGUAUAUAAUAUAUAUGCAUAUACAUACAAAUCUGUAUAUAUGAUGCACAUGCACACGUGGGGACAUAUGAAGCCUAAAUAGGUCCUACAACAUAUGGAACCCUAAAUUAAUUCCGACGAUAUCUUGUGGAAAUGGAAUGAAGAUUUGAUAUGUCCAAGUCCGACCAGAUACGACAUCGUCCAUUACAUGCUUUGAUUCCUCCUCUCUCUUCCCAACGCAAGUUAACAGCUAUAUUAUUCAUUGCAAAGUUUUUAUGCCAUGAUAAAUACAUGUGGUCUUUCGAAUGUGGUUAGGGUAGUUGUGACUUGUUUCAGUGCAAUUAUUGCUUUCGGCGAGAGUACUCGAGGGCCUGCUCAGGGUUGGACCAAUGAAUUGUGCUUAAAGUUGUGAAUUCUACGAAAUGUGUGGGUAAUGCAUUAGUAAUUUGUGGGUCCUAAAACAAAUAAAUAUGUGAAUAAAAAAACAUAUUUUGUCCCUCAUGGGGUGGCCGAGUUGGUGAAAUAGGUGAGCGCAGAGACCUUUAGACAUGAGUUCGAUUCCCCCUUCCAACACUUUCUCAAUCGAGCUUGUCGCACAGGGCUUACCUAAUGUGAUUUACUUGGUUGGAG
rnacentral:lncRNA from 1 species